UUCUGGGUAGGGAAAGGGCUGAAAGAGAGGAUAGAGGUAGGAAAAGGGUAGAGGGGUCUCAGAGGUAGGAAAGGGGGAGAACUCUGUGGCCCCUCUGCCCCUAUUCUACCUCUGAGACCCCUCUACCCUUUUCCUAGCUCUGUGGCCCCUCUGCCCCUAUUCUUCCUCUGA
rnacentral:miRNA from 1 species